UUGAUCAUGGCUCAGAACGAACGCUGGCGGCAGGCUUAACACAUGCAAGUCGAACGCGUGUAGCAAUACACGAGUGGCGCACGGGUGAGUAACACGUGGAUAUCUGCCUUUUGGUUCGGAAUAACCCUGGGAAACUAGGGCUAAUACCGAAUGGUUCCUACGGGAUAAAGAUUUAUCGCCAAAAGAUGAGUCCGCGUCCGAUUAGCUAGUUGGUGAGGUAACGGCUCACCAAGGCGACGAUCGGUAGCUGGUCUGAGAGGACGAUCAGCCACACUGGGACUGAGACACGGCCCAGACUCCUACGGGAGGCAGCAGUGGGGAAUAUUGGACAAUGGGGGCAACCCUGAUCCAGCCAUGCCGCGUGAGUGAUGAAGGCAUUCGGGUUGUAAAGCUCUUUUGGCGGGCAUGAUGAUG
rnacentral:rRNA from 1 species